rnacentral:rRNA from 1 species
GAUCCUGCUCAGGAUGAACGCUAGCUACAGGCUUAACACAUGCAAGUCGCGGGGCAGCAUGAAGUCAGCUUGCUGACUUUGAUGGCGACCGGCGCACGGGUGAGUAACGCGUAUCCAACCUGCCUGUUACCACGGCACAGCCCGUCGAAAGGCGGAUUAAUGCCGUAUGUGGUCCUUUGCGGGCAUCUAAUUAGGACUAAAGGUUCAGCGGUAACGGAUGGGGAUGCGUCCGAUUAG